GAACGAAAAAGGCAAACCAUUUGAAAGGAUGGGGCGCAAAGUUCCGCACCUAAACCCCGCAAGGGAUAAGGUAGGCGAACUGCCGAA
rfam:Omnitrophica bacterium RIFCSPHIGHO2_02_FTLL_49_9 rifcsphigho2_02_scaffold_15140, whole genome shotgun sequence.